UACGUAGGCAGCGAGCGUUGUUCGGAGUUACUGGGCGUAAAGAGUGCGUAGGCGGUUUUCUAAGUUUGGUGUGAAAUCUCCCGGCUUAACUGGGAGGGUGCGCCGAAGACUGGAAGGCUUGAGUAUGGGAGAGGUAAGCGGAAUUCCUGGUGUAGCGGUGAAAUGCGUAGAUAUCGUAAGGAAGACCAGUGGCGAAGGCGGGUCUCUGGACAGUUCCUGACGCUGAGGCACGAAGGCCAGGGGAGCAAACGGG
rnacentral:rRNA from 1 species